rnacentral:rRNA from 1 species
AUUGAACGCUGGCGGCAUGCCUUACGCAUGCAAGUCGAACGGUAACAGGUCUUCGGAUGCUGACGAGUGGCGAACGGGUGAGUAAUACAUCGGAACGUGCCCGAUCGUGGGGGAUAACGAAGCGAAAGCUUUGCUAAUACCGCAUAAGAUCUACGGAUGAAAGCAGGGGACCGCAAGGCCUUGCGCGAACGGAGCGGCCGAUGGCAGAUUAGGUAGUUGGUGGGAUAAAAGCUUACCAAGCCGACGAUCUGUAGCUGGUCUGAGAGGACGACCAGCAAAACUGGGACUGAGAGACGGCCCAGACUCCUACGGGAGGCAGCAUUGGGGAAUUGUGGACAAUGGGCGAAGGCCUGGUCCAGCCAUGCCGCGUGCAGGAUGAAGGCCUUCGGGUUGUAAAUUGCUUUUGUACGGAACGAAAAGACUCUUUCUAAUAAAGAGGGUCCAUGACGGUACCGUAAGAAUAAGCACCGGCUAACUACGUGCCAGCAGCCGCCGUAACAC